rnacentral:lncRNA from 1 species
CUUCAGCCUCCCAAAUUGUGUGAGCCACCGUGCCUGGCUGACCAUUCCUCUUAUAAGAAAAACAAUUUAUUUAUUUUGGCAGCAACAAGUAGGGCGUUAUUUGUUUUGUUUUGUUUUUAGUGUGGUGUCCAGAAAUUAAUAGAAUAUGCUAGAUUUGAUGUGAACAGCAUAAAGCACACUGGGAUUAUUAUGUCCUUUGAUUUGGUGACAGUAUAAUAUAUCAAUGCCCCUAAGACUGCAUUUGAUUUUUUACCUGUAAUACAAGAUUACCGGCUCAUACAGAGAUUACAAAAAAUCCUCUGGUUCUUAUUUUACUUUUUCUUUCUCCCUUGACUCUACCAUCCCCCGUCUUCAUCUACUACCCCAUCACCUGUCCCCUCCACCCCCAUAAUCAAUUUAUCAACCUAGUUGUUAAUAUUUUUCUCUAUGCUCAUAUAAUCACAUAUAGACAAAUACAAAUGCACACAUAUUCAAUGCAGUUUUUUUUGUCAUUUAAAAAGUGACUACUUUUUUGCCUUUUACUCAAAACAUUUUUGUGUGUAAAAUCCCUCUAAGUCAACUGGUAGAGUACAAAUUCAUUCCUCUUUAUGGAUGUGCCAAAAUGUGAAUGUACUAUAAUUUUUACAACCAUCACUCUAUUGAUGGACAUCCAUAGUAUUCACAAUUUGUGUGUGUGUGUUGCCACUUAAAAUGCUGCAACAAAUGUCCUUGUACAUACGUCCUAUAGUGUUUUUACUCCAAUAGUUUUAUUGAAACUAAUGGUUUUUUUCAG